rnacentral:rRNA from 1 species
GUAGSGUGCGAGCGUUGUCCGGAAUUAUUGGGCGUAAAGAGCUCGUASGUGGUCCGUUACGUCUGCUGUGAAAACUCGGGGCUCAACCCCGAGCCUGCAGUGGAUACGGGCGGGCUAGAGUGCGGUAGGGGAGACUGGAAUUCCUGGUGUAGCGGUGAAAUGCGCAGAUAUCAGGAGGAACACCGGUGGCGAAGGCGGGUCUCUGGACCGAUACUGACACUGAGGAGCGAAAGCGUGGGGAGCGAACAGGAUUAGAUACCCUGGUAGUCCACGCCGUAAACGUUGGGCGCUAGGUGUGGGGAACUUUCCACGUUCUCCGUGCCGCAGCUAACGCAUUAAGCGCCCCGCCUGGGGAGUACGGCCGCAAGGCUA